CUUCCUUUCUUCUUCUCUUUCAUUCUUCUUCAUCUGCGAGUCGAGAGAAAUCAAAUUAAAGUUACGUGAUCGUCAGAAAGUGGAGAAGAUCAUGUAGUAGUCGGCGGUGAUGGUGGUAGUGAUUGUGGUGGAUUCAGACUCGACGGAGUAAGAGAUUUAGAAGCUAGGGUUUCUACGAAAAGCUCAGAGAAGAAUUAGGAGAUGAAAUUAGUGUUCUAAGAGGAGAAUUGAAGGAUGGGUUUGCAUUAAUUGAAGACUUGUAUAGAGAUUUUGAUCUCAGGUGAAGUAGAAGCUCAUGCAACUGUAAUUGGAAUUAGAGUUUCAUAUUGAUGGAAAUAGAAGGUUUACUUGGUUGUUAAGAGAUGAAGAACGAAAGGGUUGCGUUGAAUUAACAUUGGGGAAAUGUUUUGGUAGUGAAUUGAUGAAUUAAGGUUCGUUUCUGUUUUAAUGAAGGUAUGGGAAUUGAAUUAGAAUUUGAUCGAUGGUGAUAAUGAAGACUUAGGGUUUUUAUUUGAGAUUGAAAAUAGGAGACUAAUAUCAGAGAAUAAUUGAUGAUGGCGGUGUUGCUUCAAAGGAUGCUUCAAACUCAUGGGAGAUGAGAAUUAGGGUUUCAGCAUCAAUGGGUUGUGGAACAUCAAUUCAGGGAAAACUAUUGUUGGUUGAGUGUGUUAGAAAUGGGAUAUGCUAUGUUUUGGAAGUGGUUAUGGAAUGGAACUGCAUACAGGUGGAUAUAAUGUUGAACUGGUGGUAUUGAAGAUGAUUGUGAUAGUGGUUGUGUAAUGAUGCCAACGGUCUGUGAAUGAAUUGCAAGUAUAGCUAGUGUUGAGGCUAUGGUUUCUGUGUGUGUAUAUGUUGUUGUUGAGAGUGGAAUGGGUAUGUAAUGAAGAGUUAUAUGAAUGUUAAUUGGUGUGUUUGAGACAAGGAGAAUGGUAUUACUGAGUUUACAGGUUGUGCAGGAAGAGACUGAGGUGAGAUGGCUUGUGCAAUUUUGAUUGGUUGUUAGAUGGUUCUAUUGGAAUUAGAAUGGAGUCAUAGCUGGUGCUGGUGCUGAUGUUGAUGCUUUUGUGGUGGUGUCCGUGCAUGUCUGUUAUGCAAUUAUGAAUUGUGCAGUGAUGUUUAACUUAUUGUGUUUGUAAUGAGAUGUUUUGCUACUGAUUUGAAAUGGACUAGACCAGCAUUUGGUUGCAGUUGAUGGAAUAUGAAUGUGAAAGUGGAGUGUAAAAAGGAAUUGGGGUUAUAGUGGUGGAGUAUUGAGCUGAGGUGCAGUGUUCUUGAGAUGAAUAUAUGUGUGUCUGAAUUGAAAGUUAGUUUGUAGGUUAAAGAACAAUAAGAUUGUUGUGAAAGAUUAAAGCUGCAACUGCAUUUUCAGAGACAGAUCAGAGUUGCGCAGCGAAGCUUCAAGGGUUGUUUUCGUUAGUUGGUUAACUUCUAUUAUGUAUAUUUUAUUAUUAUUUGUAUCUGUAAACCAAAUGACUAUUGUAUAUGUAUCAUUUGAGAGGACUUCUUGUAUAUAUAUGUUUCAG